GGCGUGGUAGUUCAGUUGGUUAGAAUACCGGCCUGUCACGCCGGGGGUCGCGGGUUCGAGUCCCGUCCACUCCGCCA
rnacentral:tRNA from 1 species